GCGACGUCAGAGGCGUGGGUGUUCGGCUACGUCACUGGGGCCCUACGGUGCCUGGAGCUGGGCAGUCUUCUCGUCAGAGUGGGGACUGGUAAGAGCGACCUCCCCGCCAGGUCCUGUGUGUUGCCAGCCGAAGAAGGGUAGCUGAAAAAUUCAGACCCAGCACAGUGUUUAUGUUGGUCAAAAAUAGAAAACUAUGUCUGGCGCCGCCGAGGCGGGAGGACCCUUCAGGCCAAGAGCAGCCUAGCAACAUGGCGCAACCCCAUCUCUGUAGUCCUACCUCAGCUCCCCCCAGCUGAGGGGGGCUCAGCCCCCCAGCCCUCAAGUAUGAACCCAACGGUUCAAGGCUCCAGUGAGCUAUGAUCCCAUCACAGCAUUCCAGCCUGCGAGAUUGAGAUGAUGAUUAUUCCCCACCUUCUAGGACACAAAGACCAACGAGCCACCACAGCCACCAGUCCCAGAACCCGCUAAUGCUGGGGAACGGAAAAUGAGGGAGUUCAACUCUGGCCCUCACAAUCCAGUGGAGGAGACGAAACUCAUCUGCCUCUGUCCCUCUGGGCACGCCUCAUGCCAGGUGCAUCUGUGGACAGGGGCCAUGCUCCUGGGCUUCCAAAGUUGGAGAAAGCUGCCAGGCUCAGGUCUGAAGGCCAGAAUUCUACAGUAAGUCCUACUGAGUCAAGGUGGGAGCAGGGUCGGUGGCUUCUGAGGCUCUGCGGGAGAAUCCGUUUCCUGGUCGUGGAGGUGGCCUGCACUCCUCAGCUUGUGCUGCCAGUCUCGAAUGACUGGAGUUUCCUGCUUCUGUCACUACACCUCCCACCCUCUCCAUCACCUGCUUUGCUCUUAUAAGGAUCCGGGUGGAGUCUUGCUCUGUCAUCCAGGCUGGCAGUGGCGUGGUCUUGGCUCACUGCAACGUCUGCCUCCUGGGUUCAAGUGAUUCUCCUGCCUCAGCCUCCUGAGUAGCUGGGACUACAGGCGCCCACCACCAUGCCCUGCUGUUUUGUAUUUUUGAGAAAUGGAAUAAUUGUAUCGCUCAUCUACGUAAACAAAUUGAAGAAUUGUCUGAAAGAAAAUAUGACAUGAACUUAAUGAAUUCAACAGGUGAAGAUUUACAACUUGAUAAAUCAGCUUCCUGAGCUCGAGCUGUAAAAGCCAAAGGUCCGGUGAUGAUCCCAUACCCUUUUUUCCAGUCUCAUGUUGAAGAUUUUUAUGUAGAAGGCCUUCCCAAAGGAAUUUUUUUUUUUUUUUUUUUGAGAUGGAGUUUUCACUCUUAUCGCCCAGGCUGGGGUGCAAUGGCGCAACCUUGCUGGUCACUGCAACCUCUGCCUCCUGGGUUCAAGAAAUUCUCCUGCCUUAGCCUCCCAAGUUGCUGGGAUUACAGGUGCCCACCACCACACCAGGCUAAUUUUUGUAUUUUUAGUGGAGAUGGGGUUUCACCAUGUUGGCCAGGCCAGUCUCAAACUCCUGACGUCAAGUGAUCUUCCCGCCUCGGCCUCCCAGAGUGCUGAGAUUACAGAUGUGAACCCAUGCCAGGCCAGGAAUUUUGUUUUUUAGGAAGGCUUUCUACUAAUGGAAUUCCUGGCCUUGAGAGGAUAUUACUUUCGACGGAAAGGAUUUUUUUGUUAUUAAAAGAGCCACCUAAGCUGAAGAUUCCCUUGAGAACAAGUACUGUCCUGCGGUUUCAUGGCCUUUCUUCCAUUUGUGGUUCUUGCGAAGUGGAAUUUAAAUGACAUCUUAUCAAGAUCGAUAAAUACUAGUUUCCCAGUGCUGGAAUAUAGAAAAUGGAUGGACAAGUAAAUCCCACUCAGCACCCAUAGUCCAGGCAUGGGGACCUCAACACACCUGAGCCCCAAACAUCACCUUUCAUUCUGGACCUACCAUGAAAGACUUCUGAAUCCAGGAAGAGAAACUGACUGGGCAACAUGUUAUUCAGAAACAGGACCUUGCCCUGUCACUCAGGAUGGAGUUCAAUGGUCCUAUCAUGGCUCAUUAUAGCCUUAAACUCCCAGGCUCAAGCAAUCCUACCAUGUCAGCCUUCCCAGUAGCUGGGACUACAGCUGGAGUACAGUGGCACAACCUCUGCUCAUUGCAGCCUCCACCUGCCAGGCUCAAGCAAUUCUCCUGCCUCAGCCUCCCGAGUAGCUGGGAUUACAGGAAGUGACCUCACAAUGACUCAAGCUACCACAUACUGUUGAUUGUGAAAUGCCAGUUGAAGCAUAUGUCCUGCGAGCUUAGGGGUGCUACAAGUUGACCACUGCAGCAGUAAAGAUGACUCUGAAGAAUGGCAUGGGAUGGAUCCUUUCGAAUGCACUUGAGCAGCGGUCUCCAACCACAGGGCCACAGAGCUGGAGCUGGAUCUACCAUGAAAGACUUCUGAAUCCAGGAAGAGAGACUGACUGGGCAACAUGUUAUUCAGGUACAAAAAGAUUUGGACUAACUUAAAAAUGAUCAAAUAAUAGUGCAUGCAUCAAGUGCAAUGGGAAGCUCUUCUGGAGAGUGAGAGAAGCUUCCAGUUAAGGAGAUGGGGUCUCACCCUGUCACCCAGGCUUGAGUACAGUAGUGCUAUCACAGCUCACUGCAGCCUUGAACUCCUGGGCUAAGGAUCCUCCUACCUGAGCCUCCUGAGUAGCUAGGACUGGUCUCCCUCUGUUGUCCAAGGCUGGAGUGUAGUAGUGCUAUCACAGCUGACUGCAGCCUCAACCUUCCAGGCUGAAGUGAUUCUCCCAUCUCAACCUCCCACGUGGCUGAGACUACAGGUGCUUGCCACUAUGCCCAACUAAUAUUUGGAAUUUUCAUAUAAGUGGAUUCCAGAGUGGUGACAGCAAAACGUGGGACCAUCCAGUUGCAGGAAAACAAGCUUAACAUGCCCACUGAUUCUACAUUAUGCUCCUACCUCCCGGCAGCCUCUCCAGGCCCAGAACUUUCUCCAGUCAGCCUCUACAGACCAAGCUCAUGACUCACAAUGGCCUAUUUAGGCCCAUACCCUACCUCACGGCAGUCUCCGCAGAUGAGCCUACUGCCUCACAACAGCCUCCACAGGCACAGCUCCAUCGUUACAAUGGCCUCUUUAGACCCAGCUCCUGCCUCCCAGCCUUCUCUCUAGGCCCUGAACUUUCUGAAGUCGACCUCACCAGGCCCAGCUCAUGCUUCUUUGCAGCCUCUCCAGGCCCAGCUCCUGCAUCUUGGUGGCCCCUCCAGGCCCAGCCUCUGCCUCCCGUCGGCCUCUACAGUCCCAACAUCUGCCUCAUAGCAGAUUCUUGAGGCCCAGCAUCUGCCUCACUGUGGACCCCCCAAGCCAAGCUCCCAACCUUUAGCAGCUUCUACACACCCAGCUCCUGCCACCCAGUGGCCUCUUUAGGCCAAGCUCAUGCUUCACAAGGGCCUUUCCAGGCCCAACUUUCGUCUCAUGGCAACCUUCCCUGGCCAGAUUCCUGCGUGUCUCCCAGCAGCCUAGACAGGCCCAGGUCUUGCCUCACACUGGCCUCUCUACAUCCAGCUCAUGCCUCACAGUGACCUCUCCAGGCACAGCUCCUGUCCCAGAACGUCAUCUCCGGGCCCAAAACUUACUCAAGUCAGCCUCUCUAGUCCCAACUGCUGCCUCCUGGUGGCCUAUGAAGGCCCAAAAUCUCCUCAAGUUGACCUCUCCCGGCCCAGCUCCUGCCUCCUGUCAGCGUCUACAGGCCCAACCUCUGCCUCAUGGGGGCUUCUCCAGGCCCAGCUCUUCCUCUUGGCUGAGUCUACAGGCACAACUGCUGCCUCACAACAGCCUUUUUUGGCCCAGUUCCUGUCCAGCUCAUGGCAGCCAAUGUAGGCCCAAAACUUCCUCAAGUCAUACUCUCCAGGCCCACCUUCUGCUUCCCGGUGGCAUGAACAGGCCCAGCUUUGACUUGAGAACAGCCUCUGCAGGGCCUGCUCUUGCCUCCCAGGGGCUUUUCCAAGCCCAGCUCUUGCCUCAUGGCAGCUGCCUCAGGCCAAAUUUCUUCCUGCCUGCCAGCAGCCUCAACAGGCACAGCUCCUCCCUCACGGUGGCCCAUUUAGGCCCAACUCAUGACUGUCGGGCCAUUUCCAGGCCUAGUGCCUGCCUCCUGGCUGACUCUUGAAGCCCAAAACUUCCUCAAAUCAGCCUUUUGCCCAACUUGUGUCUACUGUCGGACUCUACAGGCCAGCCUCUGCCUCACAGUGGACCCUGCAGACCCAGAUGGUGUCUCACUGUGGCAUCCUCAGGCAAAGCUCCUGCCUUUCGGCAGCCUCUACGGGGCCAGCUCCUGCCUUGCAGUGGCCUCUUCAGGCCAAGCUCAUGCCCCAUGGCGACUUUUCCAGGCACAGCUUUUGCCUUUUGCAGCCUGUCCAGGCCCAGAAUGUCCUUAACUCGGCAUCUCCAGGACGAGCUCAUCCUCCCAGUGCGUCUACAGGCCCAUCUCCUGCCUCACAACAACCUCCUUUGGCCCAACUCCUGCUGAGCUGCUGGCAGCCUCUGUAGGCCACAGACUUCUUAAAGUAAAGUUUUCCAGGCCCACCUUCGGCCUCCCAGCAGCCUCAGCAAUCAAACUAUUCCCUCACUGCGGCCACCGAAAGCCAAGUUUCUCCCUGCCUCACAGCAUCCUCCGAAAACUGAGCAUUUGCCUCACGGUGGCCUCCCCAGGCCACGAAUCUGCCUGCCUCCCAGGCAGGUGCUGCCUCACAAUGGUCUCUUUAGGCCCAGCUUAUGCUAAAAAAUGGACUCUCCAGGCACAGCUCUUGCCUCCUGUUAGCCUCUGCAGGCCCAAAUUCUCCAAAAGUUGGCCUCUCCUAACUCAGCUCCUGCCUCAUGUCGGCCUACACAGGCCCAGACUCUUACCACACAGUAGACCCUCCAGGCCCACCACUUGCCUGAUCAUAGCCUCCUGAGGCCAAGCUCCUGCCUUUCGGCAGCCUCUACAGGCCCAGCUCCUGCCUCACAGUUGCCUUUGUAGGCCAAGAUCAUGCCGCAAAGUGGCCUUUCCUAGCCUAACUUUUGCUUUUUGAUGCAUACUCCAGUCCCAAAACUUCCUCCAGUCAGCCGGUCCAGGCCAAGCUCUU
rnacentral:lncRNA from 1 species